AUCGGGCGCAGCGCGGGCGCCAUUGCGGGAGGUGGUGGCCCGGACCCGGGUUGGUAGACGCGGAGGCGGUGAGUGAGUGCGCCCAGUGCUAGUCCCGCACCUUUCCCACUCCCAGGGUCCUGAACUCGGCGACCUACGUUUAAUUUGUGAACUAUUUGUGUCCCCGACGCAAGACAUCGCAGCUUUUCCGCCUCAGCCGCGGGGACCCUGAGUAACGUAAUGCACACGGAGCAACAGAAAGCCGGGGCUGUUUAAACUUAUUUACGUAUUUUUGCACAAACACAUGAUACUGUGUGAUUGAAGUCGUGCUAUACACACUGAAUCCUCUGUCCCCAAUGACAUCCGAGUGGGACAGAAGCAUUUCCUAGACAGGUCACCCUAAUGCACUGCUGCGCUGCGUUACAAUAUACUAAAGGACCUUGCUAUUUGGUGCACAAAAUGUAUUUCUUGUCAUCCGUAACUAUCGCAACGGCAGAAUUUCAUCUUACUCCACUGUCAAAACAGCAUCGGGAUGAGGAGUGAGCAUCGAGGCUGGGCCGGGGCUCCGCUUGUGACCUGUGCCCCCAGCAUUUCAUCUCUGUUACAGACAUGCUGCUGUGCCAUCUAAUGCUUUAAAUCUUUUAAAAAGUGUCGACCUCGUGAAAAACAAAAAGCUUGAAAAACUUACAGAUUAGGGGGCACUAAGGAGAGCUGACUUAAUGCAGGAUCGUAGGUUACAGAAAGAACGAAGUGGAGGAACGGAUGAAGAAAUACUCCUUAGGUCUCUACAAGACCAAGACUGUGGAAUUUCUUCUGCCAACUCAGGAACUUUUCAUAAUAGCACAAACCAAAAAAUAUUCUUAAAUUAAAAAAAAAACAACUUGCUCAACAUCUCAUUCCCAGAGACAGAUUGAGGGUUAUGCCUUCUCAGAAUGUGGUUCUUUCCCAGGAAGGGAACACGAAGGAGACAGAAAUGGAUGAUGGAUCACAGAAAGUCAGGUCUCGAGUAAGUUCAGUUCUGCUCUCCUCCAACAUGCUACCAUAGUUCUCAGGAUGUUGGCACUUUCAUUUUUCAGUGUAAAGCCUUGCUGUGCUGUCUGUAAACAUGGUGUAUGGUGCCUUGGUUACUUUGACUGCUUUGAAUGAAUGGGAUGGAUCAUGAAAUGGGCCUGAAUUAUCUACUACCACAGGUUAACUUUAUGAAGACCUCUUGUAUCUCUUCC
rnacentral:lncRNA from 1 species